rnacentral:rRNA from 1 species
UGGCGGACGGGUGAGUAAUGUCUGGGAAACUGCCUGAUGGAGGGGGAUAACUACUGGAAACGGUAGCUAUACCGCAUAACGUCGCAAGACCAAAGAGGGGGACCUUCGGGCCUCUUGCCAUCGGAUGUGCCCAGAUGGGAUUAGCUAGUAGGUGGGGUAACGGCUCACCUAGGCGACGAUCCCUAGCUGGUCUGAGAGGAUGACCAGCCACACUGGAACUGAGACACGGUCCAG